CGAGCAUGCCCCAGAAUACGUGGGAAACCUGUGCAAACUGGUCCUAGGUUUGUAAAAAACAACAACAACAACAAUUGGCUGCAUACUGACCCGGCUUGAAGAAGACAAGAUUUGGAGUCACAGCUCUGUCCAGGCACAAAAGUGUUGCUGUCACCUACGCCCACUUUACUGCUAUCCUCUGGCAUUCGAGAGAAUUUCCCUUCCAAGAACACUGAAGAAAAAUUAAUCAAGUUGUUUGAAAUUAAGGCAGCAUUCUGCAUUAUGAAAGAAUUGCCCUUGUGAUAUACUCACGACUAUAGAUCCAUUCAUGGGGAUGCACUGAUAGUCCUCUGGAAGGGUGACGAUGGUGGUAAAAAAGAUGGAGAGAAAGCUGAUGAACUCACCGUGCAGCUUUAAGUUUAAAUGAGUAAACAACUUGAUUUAGAUGCUGUGAAAAUAAAGUCUCCUGAAUUCUGGCCUCGCUACUCAAAGUGUGGUCCACAGACCUGCAAUACCAUCCUUGAAUUUUCCAGUCUCUCUCCAUAUCGACUGAAUCAGAAUCUUCAUUUCAACAAAU